rnacentral:rRNA from 3 species
UAGGGAAUCUUCGGCAAUGGACGAAAGUCUGACCGAGCAACGCCGCGUGAGUGAAGAAGGUUUUCGGAUCGUAAAACUCUGUUGUUAGAGAAGAACAAGGACGUUAGUAACUGAACGUCCCCUGACGGUAUCUAACCAGAAAGCCACGGCUAACUACGUGCCAGCAGCCGCGGUAAUACGUAGGUGGCAAGCGUUGUCCGGAUUUAUUGGGCGUAAAGCGAGCGCAGGCGGUUUCUUAAGUCUGAUGUGAAAGCCCCCGGCUCAACCGGGGAGGGUCAUUGGAAACUGGGAGACUUGAGUGCAGAAGAGGAGAGUGGAAUUCCAUGUGUAGCGGUGAAAUGCGUAGAUAUAUGGAGGAACACCAGUGGCGAAGGCGGCUCUCUGGUCUGUAACUGACGCUGAGGCCCGAAAGCGUGGGGAGCAAACAGG